AACGCGAAGAACCUUACCUGGGCUAGACAACGGUGGACCGUCCUAGAAAUAGGAUUUUCCCUUCGGGGACUGCCGGUUCAGGUGCUGCAUGGCUGUCGUCAGCUCGUGCCGUGAGGUGUUGGGUUAAGUCCCGCAACGAGCGCAACCCUUGUCCUUAGUUGCCACCAUUCAGUUGGGCACUCUAGGGAGACUGCCGGCGUUAAGCCGGAGGAAGGUGGGGACGACGUCAAGUCAUCAUGGCCCUUAUGUCCAGGGCCACACACGUGCUACAAUGGGCGGUACAGAGGGCUGCAAGACCGUAAGGUGGAGCAAAUCCCAGAAAGCCGAUCUCAGUUCAGAUUGUGGACUGCAACUCGUCCACAUGAAGUCGGAAUUGCUAGUAAUGGCGUGUCAGCAAUAACGCCGUGAAUACGUUCCCGGGCCUUGUACACACCGCGUGUCU
rnacentral:rRNA from 1 species